rnacentral:rRNA from 1 species
UGGGGAAUUUUGGACAAUGGGCGAAAGCCUGAUCCAGCAAUGCCGCGUGUGUGAAGAAGGCCUUCGGGUUGUAAAGCACUUUUGUCCGGAAAGAAAUCCUUGGCUCUAAUACAGUCGGGGGAUGACGGUACCGGAAGAAUAAGCACCGGCUAACUACGUGCCAGCAGCCGCGGUAAUACGUAGGGUGCAAGCGUUAAUCGGAAUUACUGGGCGUAAAGCGUGCGCAGGCGGUUUGCUAAGACCGAUGUGAAAUCCCCGGGCUCAACCUGGGAACUGCAUUGGUGACUGGCAGGCUAGAGUAUGGCAGAGGGGGGUAGAAUUCCACGUGUAGCAGUGAAAUGCGUAGAGAUGUGGAGGAAUACCGAUGGCGAAGGCAGCCCCCUGGGCCAAUACUGACGCUCAUGCACGAAAGCGUGGGGAGCAAACAGGAUUAGAUACCCUGGUAGUCCACGCCCUAAACGAUGUCANAGUUGUUGGGGAUUCAUUUCCUUAGUAACGUAGCUAACGCGUGAAGUUGACCGCCUGGGGAGUACGGUCGCAAGAUUAAAACUCAAAUGAAUUGACGGG